rnacentral:lncRNA from 1 species
GCUAAUGCACUAGACAUGCAAAUCAUACAAAGCUGAAAUCACAAAAAGCGUCAAGCAAAACUAUUUAUUGUCCUGCUUUUGCCUUUAGUAAGUGAUAUAUUUUGUGAUAAAAGAAUAGCUGAGAAUUCUAGUAUAUGACAAAAUGCUCUUUAAGUUUAAACAUAAACAUAACCAAGCCACCUGUAGUGGAAUCUAUUUUUGCUAGGAAUUGUGAAACAGUCUGUCACUUUUAAUAAAAUAACCAUGCUACUUCCAAAUCUUGGACAAUGGGAUAUUCCCUAGUAAGGCCAGAGUUCAGUAUGGGACUUUGUCUUUUAAUGGAAUAACUGUAGUUCCAGCAACAGCUUUGUAAUGUCUCACACAGCUGAACAGAAAGUUGGCAAAACCUAUUUUGACAUGAGUUACAGCCCUUGCUGGACAGUUCCCAUCCCAUGUGGGACAAAAUUGCCAGUGCAUUUUUUAAAGGAAAAAUCAUUCUUACUACAUCAACUGACACUUACUUCCUAGAAGGUUCAUCCUGAAAAAAUGGUGUCACUACUUGCCUUUUGGUGAAUUCCAAUAUGAUUCAGCAUUAGUUCAUCAGCGCUUCUGUUUAAGAUACAUUCAUUUUUUAAAGGUGAAGUUGAGCUUCAACUCCAGGAAUGAACUACAUUUAUCUAUUGUCUUUCCAUUUUUCCCAGGAGGCAGCUACCCAGUCCUUCCCCCAGCUUGCCUCAAACCUGCUGGAAGCUGAUCUUGUGGGUUUUCUACUCCAAAGGCAUUUGUGUACAUUUUCGUUACACAUCAGAGGUGAAAUCCUGCCCUACUGAAGCAAAUAGCAAAAUUCCUGUUGACUUAGGGCCUGGAUUCCAACCCAUGAGGGCUCCAUGGGGCCAGAAAGGUUGUCUUUUUAUUUUUUACUCCAUGUUUCUAUGGCACCUACGAGAAUGGGGCCCUUGACUAUGGUUUCGAAAUGGUACUGCAAUAAUAAUAAUGAUUAAUAAUUAAUAAUAAGAGUUUUCAGAUAAGGAACCUUCAAAUCAUUUGAGACUCACUCAUCCCAGUGUAACCCAGGUUCACACCUCGGGUUAGGCACUGUCCACAAAGUUAAAUAGAAACCACAACUGAGUGGUCAUCCGGAAAGAGUGAACUCCUUCCAGGGUGAGAGCUGCAUGACACUAGAAAAUUAUCUGCACACCAUCUAGAUUCCAAAACUGGGAUUAGCUCAUGGCUAGACUCUUCCACUAUAUAAUUAGAAUGUAUGCAUAUGCUUGGUUACACAGCCAGGAGAUGGUGAAAUAGGAGAGCGACUGGGUGGUUCAGUGUCUAUUAAAGCAGUGAGAAGCGGUGAAUACAUUAAUCUCUUGUAUCGGUAAAAUUGGCACAGCAAAGGUCAGUGGAUCAGAUUUCAUGCUCAGACAUGCUGAAGUGUCUGAAACAGGGAAGACCACAGGAACGGGAGUAACCACACAGGCAUGCAUCUUCCUAGUGGGAUAGCGUGUCAACUGCUAGAAAUGAUGACACAGAGAGGACAAAAUGAAUGUUCUAAUCAAAGAGUAAAUGUGCAAGCCACAUUUUCCACUUCUCAGUAAUUUGUUUCAUGUCGCUGUCACACUCUGGAAAGCGUCAGAAAGCGGCUGUGCUAACUUUGUUCGUCCUUGACACAGGACAAGGUAGGGCCUGUCCCUGCUCCCAGUAAGUGAAUGCCGUUGUAGUGGACACUUCAGGUAUCCUUAGAAGAAUACAGCCAAAGCAGCGUUGGGUUGGAUUUUCAAAACCGCUCAGCUCCCACUUAGACACCUAGAUGGUCAGAUUUCCAAAAGUGUUCUG